GCAGCGAUGUCCGACUGGUUAAGAAGAUUAAGUGGAAAUCAAUUCGGCUUCGCCCGCGCAGGUUCGAAUCCUGUUCGCUGCG
rnacentral:tRNA from 1 species